CUACAGAAUGUAAGAGGUACAGCCUUGACUAAUUUUGAGACUGAAGAAGACACAGAAUCGGUAGGAGCCAAGUGUGUGUGUGUGUGUGGUGGUGUUCCUAAGAAAGGUCUGGCAUGAGUCUCCCCAGGCAACACCAGCAGGGUGGCCAAUAAGAGCUGGGGACACGACAUUGACUGACUGUCUUCGCUGCUUCCGCAGUCAUUUCUAAGAUCUAAUGAUAAUCACCAAGGGUGCUCUUCUCUAACAAUGAGGGAUUUGUUGGUGGUGGUGGGGACAGAAACAUCCUCCUAUUUGCAUGGGAUUGAGGACCAUUUCCCUAGGGUGCCUUGAUCCCCAAAAGACUGCCAAGACUGUCUGGACCUGAAUCUCAGCCUCACAAACUGUGUGAUGUUGGGCAAGUUCCCUAACCUUUCUGUGCUUCGCUUCCCUCAUUAGUGAAAGCUUAUUGUAAGUACAGUUUCUUGUUCUCUGCCUCAGGGAAGAACCAUGUCUUACCUGGGGACCCCAGGGAUGACUUAACCCACUCAGCGGUAAGGCAGAUGACCAAGAAUGUCCCCACGGGCUGCAGUAGCUGUUCUGAGAGCAGGUGGGCUAAGCAGGGCUGGGGGCAAAAUAUGAGGGUCUUUCUACUGUUUUGUUUGGGGUGGACAGAGAUCUUGGGCAGCAUUUAGUCACGCUUCCUUCUCAGUGGGGAUGGCCCAUAAGCUGAUGGGAGCACUUAAUGGGGGGGGGCUCUGUCAUCACUGGACUUCCCAGUAGACAUCUAGCCCAAUUCUCUUGAACUGACCUGCUAUCCCUAGAGUAGGGUGACUUCUCAGGAUUUCAGGUCCUGCAUGGCAGUCUCCCAAGACUCCCAUGGCAAUUGUAAGGAUUGGGAGUGUGAAGACCCAAGACUGACAGGGAAUGGCACCCAGCCUUCAGAUGGCAGAGUUUUACCUUCCAAGAACAGCAUCUCCAGGAUUUGGUCCUAGUCAGGGUAGCCAGUGAUCCAGUCCCCACAGGGAAUUCGCAGCCUCUCUCUAGGAUUAGACUUUGCGUGGUACUGACAAUGCUUGUCAUGAGUGUGAAGAAGAACAGAAGCAGUGGGAGGUUUUGUUGCAGAUGGACAAGGGACUUGGGUUAACACGGAGCAGAAAGUGAGUUGUCAGACACGGAGAAGCAGGUAGUUAGUGUCAGGAAAUGAGAGGAUGAGACUGGCCCAUGCGCAGAGCAGUACACAGGUCUCAGGCGGGGAGGCUCUGAAGCAAGGGCCACCUGCAGAUACUAUUGGAGCACUUCAAAUGUGAUUCUUCAGGGUAGGUAGUGGCACAUGAUAGGAUGGCACAUGAUAGGAUGGUGACGGGUGCAAGGACUUGGGUUCUGAUUGGAGACCAGAUGAGGAUCUGUGCAAGCAGUGUCAAGGGCACAGAGGGUGACAUCAAACGCAGUGUGUACCCACAGGAGUGUGCAGCCCAGCAGGUGCAGCCCGGCAUGGUUCCAGGCAGUCACUGUUUUUUUCCACAUCUUGAGAUCGUGCCAUUGUCCUGGUCCCAGGUGUAUAAACUGGAGAGUUCCUAGCCGUGGUCCUUGGUGUCUUUACAGGGUUACAGGGCACAGUCUGUCAGAAGAGGAAACUGAGGCACUGUUUCGUAAAGAGCCUGGUAGGAGAUGCCCUGGGGUCACUGUAGAGCCAGGUGCAAGUGUUCACAGACUAGGUUGGCUCCUAAACUGGGGUGCUGUCCUUUGUCUUUGAAGUGAGGAGGGUAGAUCUAUGGAGGAGAGGUCUAUGGACAGCUGUUUAAAUCUCGGCUCUGUAGGUGUGGGUUAGGGGGAGUAGAGGGAGGAAGAGGUGAUCCGGAGUUUGCAGUGACUACAACUUUCCUGCAGGUCAUUGCUACACAGGGAACUGAAGGAGAGAUAAGGAUUCCACAGGUUGAGACAGACAGAGGCCUGAUCCUUCAACGCUGUGAGAGAGGGGCAGGGGAGAAACAGACUCAACACUGGGACAGGAAGCCAGGAUUUAUGUUACGCUGGGUCAGACAGGCCACAGGGCACUGGAGAGGCCCAUGCACACAGCUUCUAGGUAGUGCCACUGAUUUUAUUUUGAUGGUUUAUUUAUUUAUAUUUUAUUAUAUUUUGAGACAAGAUCUUGUCAUGUAGCCCAGGCCAGUCUUGAGUUCAUGUCUACAUGGUAAGAGCACCUUUGCAAGAGACGAUGUUCUGAGACAGUCCACACUGGGAUGGGAGAAGACCGUCCGCCUCCUGUGGUGCUGUCUAUCCUGAGGUCCUCCUGACCCUUGUCCCCUGUUCCUCUGGUUCCUCUCUUUGACUUUAAGAAAAGCAGGGUGAAUGGUCAGAGUGGACACAGACGGCUUUGUGUCCACAGAUGGAGUAACUUUUGCUGCCAUUCAGCCAUGACAAGUUCUUAUGUUCCAGGGUAGGGGUGUGUGGAUUAGGAAUGUUAGGUAGGAGGAACAGAGAUGUGAAAGAAAUACAGAGACAUAGGAUAGUACCAGGAGGGCAACUAAGUGAAUAUUGAAUAUUGAAUUCGCCUGUGUUUAAUUUUCAUAUACUUUUAUACCCCUAUACAGAAGUGGGGGAAGAAGGCAAAAGACAGCUUUACCAUGACACAAAGGACAACCAGAACAGUUGCUUGCUUCAGUACUUGAGACAUCAAGCCAUUAUUUCCUGAAUAAAGCAUUUUGGGGCAGGAAUAUGCAGUGAACACACCUUAGACCAAGUAUCCUGUAGGCAGCCACUCCCAAUAUCAAAUCCUCCUAUUUUAAAAGAAGGAGCACAGGAAUAGGCUUGAAUUCUCCGACCUUUGGUCAGGGUGGAGCAGAUCCAUCUCUAUGGGCCAUCUUGAUGUCCAAAACACCAAGCAACCACACCUGACGUCAACAGCUUUGAAAGAGCAAGCAUAAGCUCAAACUCUCUGACUUCCAGUCAAGGUGGAACAGGCUCACAUCUGUGGGCCUGCGUGUGUGAAUGCAUGUGAGUGUGUGAAUGCGUGUGGGCAUGUGAAUGCAUGUGUAUGUGUGCAUGCCUGAGAGUGUGUGAGGGGAUAGGACUCACCAGCAGACCCGAGCGCAGGGUCAGAGAACUUCCAGGUGAGGUGGGGCCAGAGGAUGCUUCAGCCGGACUCCUGUCAGCCUUCACAGCUGGAACAGCAAUCCUGGUGGCACUCACUGAGGAGCCAAGAGCAGCCCCUGGAGGAGUAAGUAAACAGUGAAGGACCAGAGGGUUCCGUGGGAGGUGGAAGGAGUCAGGGAUGCUCCGUCGGAGCCAGCCUUAGAGUAUGAGACGAGAGAAAAACGGAAGAGGGGGCUCCUCUGUGCCUGCGUGGCCCUGACCUCCACCCCUUACUUGAUGCACAUAUCUCUAACUCUGUCCCUUGAAUCCUGUCAUCUCGAAGCCACUGCCAUAGACUGCAAAUUUCAAAUAGAGCAACCAAGGGUGAACACAAGGACCAAUGUGGCCAAUAACAUGCUUUGCAGUGUAUGGACGGUGCAUGUCCAAUAUCCCAAAGCAAGUCCGGAAAACAGUGGCCAUGUCAGGGAGGUGGGGAGGAGAGUCAUAGACUCACGGAAGGAGGCAGGAAGUGCAGGCAGCAUGGGUUUAGACAAGAUGCAAACCCUGCUUCUACUUCCAGGUGCUGCCUUGGCAUACCCUGGAAAGCUGUGGAAUACACAAGGCCAGGCCUCAGACAACAGAGGUUCAUGACUGCCUGGCUCCUGGCUGACCUCACUCCUUCUGCUCGCUUCUCAACGACAGGGGGCUGGGACUGAGGACACGACAGGAAGUUAUGGAGGAAAACAUGUGCCUGAAGAACCACUGCGAGCAGCCAGCAUGAGCUGGGGUCCCCGGAGCCUUCUGAACUGGGGCAGUGAAAGGCUCCCCUAGACUUUACCAGUUUGGAUGUCAGUUCUGCCUGUUCCUUGUCAUGUGACAUGGAACUUUCCUGGGAGUGGGUUGGAGUGCAGUUUGUAUGUAUAAAUGGAGAGCUACAGUACCCAUUUACUAAAUUGCAUCAUUAUUGCUUGUGCUUCUAUUUCAAGCUGAAGCAGAGGGUUAGAAAGUUCAAUCUGAGGCCAGAUAAGCCACUGGAUGGAAAAUGAGUGUAGGGUCAUGGGACCUGGGAAGGGCCGCAGUGUGAGAAAAACAGCUCCUGGGGAGCAGAUCCAACUCAGGUCUCAGCCACCACCUUGUGUGCGGCAACCAAGAAGCCCCUUUGCUUUUCUCUUCCUUUCUUUCCUCUUUACUUUUAUUAGCCUUUUUCAUGGUUGGGGACUGAAUAACCUAGGACACGGCACACGGCCUCUGCCACAGAGCUGUGUCUUAGCUCUUUCCAUUUUUAUUCAUUUUUAGACAGAGUCUUUUACUAACUCUCCCAAGUCAGUCUUGAACUAGUAAUCUUCCUGAUUCAGUCUCCCUACGAACUGGGAUUACAGGCCUGGCUAACAAUCUAAGUUUUCGACAACAACAACAAAAAUCCUUCCACGAUCAAGGUUAGGCUUGGCAUGUUCAAAAGUCCUUUUGCGAUCACCCAGAAGUUUCUCCCCUGCUUUUCCAAGCUAGUGGCCAUCUGCCUGCAAACAGGUAGACACCAUGGGGAAAGAAGGCCCAUAGAAACAGGCAGAGUGGCUGUUGGGCUCCCCUGGUUAGCCCUGUAGGUAGCAUGUCGUCUCACUGAACUUCCCCUUCACGCUCAGCAGAUGGCGACCGUGCGCUAGUGCUGCUGAUUCCUGGACGCCAUGGAAUUGUUUGCAAGGUAUCCAGCGCAGGUGCCUUCCUUCAGCUGGAUGUCGGAGCUUGGAGCCGGUCCUUGGACAAAGAGAUGCUGGGGAGGUAGCAUCUCCCUACCUUGGGUUCCUCAUUCUUCAUCUCUGCACCCGCAUGGAGGGGUGUCUGAAGUUCCAGGAGGAGACAAGCCUGGAGAAAGAAGAGCCCAAGAAUGGACAUAGUUCCCUUCUCCCUCUCAAGGUUUGUGGGAGUGUGCCCAGUUGUGAGGGAAACAUCUCCAUCCUCCGACUGGUGAGAAGACCCUGUUAGCUCCAGGAUCCUGAGUGGAACCCUCAGUUAUGCUUUGAGCUACAGUCGUGUUGGUACAUGAUCCUGAACAGGCCUUUCUCAUCCCAGCGUCUUCCUUGGUCUUCCUACAUGUUGGAGUCUCGGAUUAGCCUAUGGCCGUCACUGCUCACUCUUUCUGCUAUCUCUUCACCAAGUGCCCUUCACAGAUGACUUUCAAAGCAACCAUGUUGGUCUCACCAUCCUUCUCUUCAGCUUCCACCAGAAGACGGUUCCCAAGGGACACGGGAAGAGGCUGACUAAGGACGGAGGUGUCUCCAUGGAGACCUGGGUAGAGCAGCUCUCAGCUCAGCAGACCCCGCCCCAGAGCUGCGGAUCAUCGGGCUCAUCCAGUGAAAGGGGAAUCUCUUCCCUUCUGGAGUUCAGGAGGAAUGCAGUGGAACCAGGCUUCCUACCCACUGCUCGCAGUAGCUAUUUGUGUACCUCCUGCCUCUACUAGAUAGAGUCCCCUAAUGGAAGGGACUGUCGUCUUUUCAUUGGCCACUGCACUGCUCAUCGACUUCAUUGCAACAAAUGUGCCUCUAAGAUUUGGCGUCUGCAAAUGGUGGUCAUGGCCACUGGUAAAGAACAGUCCUGGGUGUGGACACAGUCAAGGAUGCCUUGCUAUCUGGCUUUUGGGAAACUUACGUGGUUUCCAAUGUGGCUGUCAACAGUUACCCCCUCCCCCACAUAGCUUUGGGCUCACCACCCUCUGCACAUGUGUCCCUGGAGCUGUAUGAUUCCAUAGUACAUGGUCAGGGGGACAGAAAGGGACAUAUGAAUGGAUCAGAAUUGUUUUGUCAACCUGUGGGUUUUCUGCUUUGUUCAAUUGUUUCUUUUAUAAAUAUCAGCAAAUAAAAUCAUCUAAGAUUGAUGCUUCUCCCGUCUCAGUGGGAGACACUAGGAACUCUGAAUGAAAAUUGUGUAACAAGCCUCUACCGAGGAAUAACGGGACUGGUGAGAAAUGGUUGAUCUUCAUUUAGUUCACACAUAGAAGUCUCCUGACACACACCCCGUGA